rnacentral:rRNA from 1 species
GACGAACGCUGGCGGCGUGGAUUAGGCAUGCAAGUCGAACGGUAUCAUCCUUUCGGGGGUGAGAGAGUGGCGAACUGGUGAGUAACACGUAGGUUAUCUACCCUCAAGACGGGGACAACCCAGGGAAACUUGGGCUAAUACCGGAUGUGAGCAACUUUUAGUUGUUUGAAAGGUGGCGUAAGCUGUCGCUUGGGGAUGAGCCUGCGUCCUAUUAGUUAGUUGGUGAGGUAACGGCUCACCUAGGCAAUGAUAGGUAGGCGGCCUUAACGGGUGGUCGCCCACACUGGGAUUGAGAUACGGCCCAGACUCCUACGGGAGGCAGCAGUGAGGAAUAUUGGUCAAUGGGCGCAAGCCUGAACCAGCCAUCCCGCGUGAAGGAAGAAUGCGCUACGCGUUGUAAACUUCUUUUCCAGGGGAGAAUAAUCCUGUCGUGACAGGACUUGACGGUACUCUGGGAAUAAGCAUCGGCUAACUCCGUG